ACGCUCGACACCUACGGGAGCAGCAGUGGGGAAUAUUGGGCAAUGGAGGAAACUCUGACCCAGCAACGCCGCGUGAAUGAUGAAGGUCUUUGGAUUGUAAAGUUCUUUUCUAAGGGACGAAGAAAGUGACGGUACCUUAGGAAUAAGCCUCGGCUAACUACGUGCAAGCAGCCGCGGUAAUCUGAGCGGGCUGGCAAGGC
rnacentral:rRNA from 1 species